rnacentral:tRNA from 1 species
GCCCCCGUAGCUCAGUGGACCAGAGCGGUUGCCUUCUAAGCAAUAGGUCGCAGGUUCGAAUCCUGCCGGGGGCGCAA